GUGGGGAAUCUUAGACAAUGGGGGAAACCCUGAUCUAGCCAUGCCGCGUGAGCGAUGAAGGCCUUAGGGUUGUAAAGCUCUUUCAGCUGGGAAGAUAAUGACGGUACCAGCAGAAGAAGCCCCGGCUAACUCCGUGCCAGCAGCCGCGGUAAUACGGAGGGGGCUAGCGUUGUUCGGAAUUACUGGGCGUAAAGCGCGCGUAGGCGGACCAGAAAGUUGGAGGUGAAAUCCCAGGGCUCAACCUUGGAACUGCCUUCAAAAAGCCUGGUCUGGAGUUCGAGAGAGGUGAGUGGAAUUCCGCGUGUAGAGGUGAAAUUCGUAGAUAUUCGGAGGAACACCAGUGGCGAAGGCGGCUCACUGGCUCGAUACUGACGCUGAGGUGCGAAAGCGUGGGGAGCAAACAGGAUUAGAUACCCGGGUAGUCC
rnacentral:rRNA from 1 species